CCGGUGCUGGGAUCCCGGAGCAGGAGGGUUUGGCCAUGGCCUCCAACGGCUCCUCUGGAAUUCGGGAUUCCCCCCUGGAGACAGGAAUUUUCCUGGAUGAGGAUCUGGGAUCCGACUGGUACCUCUACGAAUCCACGGAAUCUGCGCUGGGAGAUGAGUGAGUGUUCCCUUCCCACGGAGCAAAUCCCUGGAUUUUGGGCCCUUCUACAAAUCCUGGAAUUUUUGGUCAUUCCCUGAUUUAUUCCCGGAUUUUUUGCCUCACCAAAAUCUGGGAUUUUUCCCAGAAUUUUCCCAUCCCCUGCAAGGUUAACCCCAAAUCUGGGAUUUUUCCCAUUUUUCCAGAAUUUUCCCCAUCCCUUUCAGGGUUAAAGCCCCAAAAUUUGGGAAUUUUCCUGUUUUUCCAGGGUUUUCCCCGUUCCUUUCUGGGUUAAACCCCCAAAAUUUGGGAUUUUUCCCGUUUUUCCAGCCUUCUUCCCGACGCCAUCCCGGAAUGCCACCCCACCAUUUCCCCCCGGCUCUACCACACCAUCAUGGCUCCCGUUUCCGUGAGUAUCCACCCCAAAAUCCUGGAAUUUUCCUGUCCCGGGGAAAAAUUCCAGGGGGAAAAAAGGAAAUUCCAGGGGAAAAAAGAAAUUCCCAUUCCCACAUCCCAUCCCCCACCCAGAAUCCACGGAUUGGGUUCAGCCCCUGGCUCUGUCUUGGAUGAAUUUUCCUCCCCUAAAAGCUCCCAGAAUUCCUGGAUUUCUGGGAUUUCAGCUCCCUAUGGGACAAGAACUCCAAAAUCCCUCCUGGAUCUUUCCCGGGAUUCCUUUUCCAUGGAUUUACGGGGUCUCUGUGGGGUUCCCGGCAUUCCCAGGAGCGUUUUUCCAUGAAAUUCACAUCCCUUUCCCAGCUGGCCGUGAUCCUGGCCUUGUCCUUCCCGGCCAAGCGUCGCCGUCUCCACCGGAGCUGCUGGAGCGGCGUCCCGGGAUUGCUCAGCUCCGGGAAUCUGGAGGAGGACGGGAGCCGCGCUCCGGCCGCCGCCGCCUUCGCCCUGCAGAUCUCGGCGCUUUUCCAGCUGCUGCUGGACCGGGAACCGCUGCCCCUGGCAGCGCCCGCCGGACACGGAGCGCGCGGUGAGAG
rnacentral:lncRNA from 1 species